rnacentral:rRNA from 1 species
CUAGAGAGCGGCGUACGGGUGCGUAACACGUGUGCAACCUACCUUUAUCAGGAGGAUAGCCUUUCGAAAGGAAGAUUAAUACUCCAUAAUAUAUUAGAUGGCAUCAUUUAGUAUUGAAAACUCCGGUGGAUAGAGAUGGGCACGCGCAAGAUUAGAUAGUUGGUGAGGUAACGGCUCACCAAGUCAUUGAUCUUUAGGGGUCCUGAGAGGGAGAUCCCCCACACUGGUACUGAGACACGGACCAGACUCCUACGGGAGGCAGCAGUGAGGAAUAUUGGACAAUGGGUGAGAGCCUGAUCCAGCCAUCCCGCGUGAAGGAUGACGGUCCUACGGAUUGUAAACUUCUUUUGUAUAGGGAUAAACCCAGAUACGUGUAUCUGGCUGAAGGUACUAUACGAAUAAGCACCGGCUAACUCCGUGCCAGCAGCCGCGGUAAUACGGAGGGUGCAAGCGUUAUCCGGAUUUAUUGGGUUUAAAGGGUCCGCAGGCGGGCCGAUAAGUCAGUGGUGAAAUCUCAUAGCUUAACUAUGAAACUGCCAUUGAUACUGUCGGUCUUGAGUAAAUUAGAGGUAGCUGGAAUAAGUAGUGUAGCGGUGAAAUGCAUAGAUAUUACUUAGAACACCAAUUGCGAAGGCAGGUUACCAUGAUUUAACUGACGCUGAGGGACGAAAGCGUGG